GGAGGGCUCGCAUAGCGGCCGAGUGCGGCGGUCUUGAAAACCGCUAUCAGGGGUGACUCUGAUCGUGGGUUCGAAUCCCACGCCCUCCGCCA
rnacentral:tRNA from 1 species